GUUGUUUUUCUCGAGUCACCCGACCCAGGCCCCGACCCGGCCCGGUCGUCAGAGGAGGCUUGUUUCUAUUCAGUGAGCUGCAAAUUAGACUGACCCUGUGCUGCCACCCCCGAACCCACACACACACUCUCCCCUCCAUCCAUCUUGGCUCGCUUGUUCACUUUCUUUUCACUUCGGCUCCUCUCUUUGGAGGCCCCGUCAUACCCGACACAGAGUGCCAUCAGUCAGACCACACACAAGACGAGAAAAGGAGGGACGGACGGGUCACAAAGGAUAAGCUGCCUGGAUCCAAGGACACACAGAAGACCACAGCCUAAAACACUGGACCCACAGACUCAGAACAUCCUCAGCAUGGAGCUGCAGCCUUCUGGUUCACAACUGCAUGUCCUUCAGCUUCUCUCCCAGCAACGCAGGCUGGAUGGUGUUGAAUGCACUGGAGAAAUCAAAGAACAGGAUCUUCACUGAGGCGUCAGCCAACAGAUGAGAAACAACGUCUCUGAAAUAUCGCUGCAUCAGCAGAAACAGCAGUGUGGUACGGGCUCGGGUCCACGUUUUUGGAACCCAGACCUGCCCUGGAUCUUUACAACACACACGGACCAGGAGCAAGUCAGGCAGAACACGUGUGGCUGCCUGUCUGCAGUGGAGCAGCUGGAAGGAGCCAAAGCAGAGUCAGACCAGGUCCCUUUCCAGACGGCCUCCUAUCAGAUCUCUAUCACAUUAUUGAUGACCAAGAGGCUCUAAUCAAUAUUAAAAGGUCACCAUCACCUUCACUCUGUCCUCCCUCAGCUGCUGCCAUCGUCUCCAUCUAGAAUCUCCCUCCUCUCUCAUCCUCUGCAACAACCUUGGUUCCUGUUUAUUACGCACACACUCCUCAUGAUGGUGGAGUCAAACUACAAACCAGAGGAAAAGUGCUUCCUCUCUCUGAUCACACACACUGCAGGACAGACAGGAACAACCUUUCCAACGCAUGGACAGCAUCACGACAGCAGGACGCUCAGAGGAGGCUUUCACUCCAGUGCUGAGGAUGUGAAACGACCCCUGUCUAUGCGUCAUUAGAUUAACCAAGCGCUGUGAAGGAACCAGAGCUCUGUUUCAGUUACUGUAAAAGCAAAAGGCCACUGGAAGCUGGUGGCGAUCAGUGUGAACAGCUGGACAUCACAGCACACACACAGCAGUUACAGAUAGCGGGGUUUCCUCAAAUCAGCCAUGAUUUACAGUCCGCGAUGACAAAGACUCUAUGGCACCGUCCUGCUGAACACUGAUGUGAGUCACAGUAAAUGGACCCGUGGUCCUUGUGUCGUCCUCUGCUGUGAAUGGCGGCAGAAAGCCUCCUCUGUUCCACCACUCGGACGCACAAUUGAAUCCUUCACAUCCACCAUCAGUUCCUUUCCUCCACUCUUUUGCUGCUCAGACAGAAGAAGACUGUGUCUGAUGCCAUGACAGAAACCAGACAGUGUCCAUCUCACUGAGUCAUGAACUGAACUGGCUCUGGAAUCUGCAGGUUCAGCUAUAAAUAGUAUCAGUUCCACAUAUGGUGAUGAGAGGAGGACAUUUCCAGGACUUCUACGAUCUAGUUGGAGGUUUUCCUGGGGAUCCUCAUACUGUUAAGCUCUCCUCUAAGCUUCAUGUUUUAAAUGUCACUGUUCUCCAACAUGCUGACCUCUUAAAGCAGCAACGGAGCAGAGGCUUCUGGCGCUUUGGGUCGCGACCACUAAGCUCAUUGUGUUUCUCUCACUGACUGAUGGGUGUGGACUCAAACAAAACUGAUCAGAUGCUCAGUAACAGCUUGGCACCAAAAAGCAGCAUUGGACUGUUUCACAUCUAAAGAAACAGUCCACAGAGCACUGUUAAGACAAGAUAAAUCAGACUUUAUUGGACCCUUGGGGGAUUUGUUAUCUCUGCAUUUAACCCAUACACACAGAAGGAGCAGCAGUGAGCAGCCACACGUGGGUUCGAACAGGUAACCUCCCCCCUCUCAGACCCACGCUCCACCCACUGAGCCACAAGAGGAUGAAAACUAAAAGCUAAACUAAAACACUUAUGUAUCUAUUGUUGAGAACCAGUUUCCCCGUAAGCAACAAAAUGGGAAUUCAACUGAUUGUAAAUUCAAUGAAAUGCUAAAACAGCUUCAGGAGCAGAGGGUUUCAUAAGAGCCGACUGUUAUGUGGGUGGUGAUAACGGGUCUGGGGGCUGUUACUUAGAUGUGAUAACACCACCUGUCAGUGUGAGUGCGCUGGUGUGUUCCUGCUCAGGAGGAUUUAAGGAGCCGCAGAUCUGUACAUUCAGGAUUAUGGAUUUUCCAUCUGUCAGCGACGCUGCAUGCGGCCGACACGGAGGUGACCCCAACGACCCCACAAGGUUCGAGGCGGGGAUGAAAGAAGGUCAGAAAAGCCCAAAAAGAGAAGGCAGAUGAUGACGACCACGAAGGCGUUCGGUUUCACCACUGGCCCAGAAAACGGAGGGAGGAGAGGAGCGAAGAGACAAACGAACAGAGACAAACGCAGCUCUCACUUCAUGCAUGAAGCCGAGGCAGCGGACGCGUGCGCGGAGGAGCUGCUGUCCUGGUCGCUAACAAGCAGCGCUGAUGCUGAGCACACAGCACAUUCACUCAACUGUUUCUGCUCAGACGCGGCCACAUCUGUGCUGUGUUAGCAAUGACUUACGUCAGUUAGCAAAUGUAACGGGCUCCGGAUUCCGAGGCUAUGACUUAACAUGAAUUCAUUUCAACAGCAGCCUAAAUGAGAAGUGAUAGGAUGGGCUCCCACGCACUGCAGACUGAGCAGGUGAUGGGUUCAGCUGCUUGAGCUGCUGGAGGCUCCCUGACACCACCCAGAGGGAAUUCAUCUGAUUAGAAGAAGAACCUCAGCAGGAAUGGAGAAAUUCACGUUUCCAGCAUCAGGUUAACGUUUCAGCUCAUGUGUCCAAGUUCUUCACACAGCAGCCUCACUUUGUUGGAAGCAAAGACACUAUGAGCGACCAGUAGAACGGCCACGGACCGUUCUGCCUUUAAAGAGGAGAAUGGUGCGAUGCUGAGAUGAGCGCAGUCUCACUGACCUUCACCUUUUGGGGCUCAGUGGCUCGAGCGUUGCUCCCAGAAGACACUUCACGCUAGCUCCCUGUGUGAGGCCGCUCGCUGCUACUCCGUGUGUGUACGGGUCAAAUAAAGUAUCGUAUUUGAGAAAACCUUCAAGAAAUGCGCUCCUCACCCAAAGCAGCGACAGGCUGCGGAACAGCAGCUUCACCAGGACACGGUCCAUCAGCAGCAGCAGGCACGUUCUCACGCGUUAGCAGCUGGAUCCGAGUUCAAUCAGCCUGUUCGGUAGCUCUACAAAGACGUCAGGGUUCAGUCCUCACUAAGUACCAACAUAAUGACCAACGGAUGGACACUUCCACCCUUUAGCACCACCUACAGUAACAACACUUUCACUGAGAGAGGUUUCCAACUGCAAAGCGUUUCUAUUAGACACGAUGUGUUGACUAGGAAUCAGAUCACACUUCUAUUCCUCCUAAUGAUCAGCUUCAUUUUGUCUCUUAGACCUCACAGCUCCUGGUCGACUGCUGGUUCUAGUGGUUCUACGCGUAGGAUGGCAGGCAAAGGUUCUCUGUGGAACCAGCUUCAGUCCAGGUUCUGGAUCUAAAUCCCGGAUAACCUUGCUGUGAUGAAGCGGCCGCCACCUUGAGCUGUCCGGUUUACAACGUAUUUAUAGAAUGCAAAAUCUAUGCUGCUGCUCAGGAUGAACACAACAGUGUUAAACAUAAUGUUUGUAACCAUAGCAACAGCUUCUGCUGUCAGUGCACAAACCAAUUUACAAACACUUGAUUCCAACAAGGCGUCUUUGUUCCUCUGGUAUGUGUGUUUUCUCCACUGCCACAAGCACAACCACCUGUAAUCGCGUUAAAAACGGGACUGAAGAAAACUAGGAAUUAAACUGCUUUGUGACUUCUGAAUCUAAUCUCUGCUGCUGCAAACCAGGCAAAAGAGAGGCAAAGGCACCUGAAGGUUUCUGGAUCUGUUCAAGUGCCUGAAGCACGUCUGCACAGGCCGCGGCGUGUCAGCGAUGGUGGGCGCUUCAAGCGAUCGCGACACACCCUGAAACACAAACCAAAGAGCGGCAGCUCACACACUCACACACACACCUGCCUGCAGUAGCUGCAUAUAGACCGGCUUCUGAGUCACAGUGAGUCACUGCCAGUGUUCAAUCCUCCCAUGCCGACCCGGGUCCACAGCACCUGGACACGGGUCGGCAGGGGGCGGAGCCGGGUCGCGGCUCAUUCGCCAGCAUCAAACACGUCUAAAAGGGAAAGUUGAGGAGUCAGGUUCCAGUUCCUUCCUCCUUCUAUUCAAUUCAAUUCAAUUCAAUUCAAUUUUAUUUAUAUAGCGCCAAAUCACAACUCUAGAGAUUCUCUUAAUUCCUGAAGAAAAACUAUCCAAUCAUUUAAUGCAGACCUGAUUAGACUUUCCCCACAUUUCUCUGGUUGGUGCUCACCUCCGUGUCCUCACUGGUGCAAUCAGGCAGCUUGCUCCAACCACUCAAUAAUAGAUGAAGGUCUUUUCUUUUAAAGUCAGAACCUGAAGAGAUUGAAGCGGACCAACACAGCAGGAGGCAGAACUACACCCACUCUCCACAGACUCAGCAGUAAUGGCUCCCACAGGGAGCAGCCUAUCGAUAUGUCAGUGGACGGGCGAGGAAGAGGAUCAAAAGGCUGAACAAUUACAGCUACGAGCUGAACAUCAGCAAGAAACUAGUCUGAACCACGCAGCUCUCAUCGCUGUGCACCAGGUAUGAGGAGAAACACCGGGAUGGGAGUGCAUGCAACUACAGCCAACUGAAACCUCAAGUACAAGUGUAUCACAUCAGCAGAACCUGAUCACAGGCUGUCCUGCCCUCAGGUUCCACAGCUAAAAUCUAAAAUCCACGUUACUGUUGAUCUGUGAAGCUAUAAUGUGAUGAUAACUGAGGCCGAACCGCUGUGCGAUCGUCUCAGAUCCGACUAUGACUCGUGACCAGAAGAACAGCCCACAGAUGGAGAGUCCGUUAUUUACCACCCACUAAAAGUUCAGCCUGGAGUUUUGAACUUUGUCAAAGCACUUCAAACUGUUCAGCUUCAAAGGCCUCCAUUAGAUGGGUUUCAAAUAUUAAUAGCUGCAACCAGCUCCCUCUUUAAUCAAUACCUGUGGCUCACACUGAUGCACAGCAACAUGCUAAAAACAGCCUCCAUGUCACAGUGCAACACUCUCCCACACAGCUGUUGUCUCACACUUUGUGGCAACAAGCUUCGACACAAACACCUCAAACCGGCUCCAAAUCAGCAUCUUACGACAGGCACACACCCAUGAGGAGAGAGUCAGCACAGUCCACGUCAACUACUGCAGCAUGAAAGACCUUCAGUGCACACAUGACGCCUGGGAAUAUAUUCAAAUACAAUUCAUCAGUAUAAAAUCAAAACAACGAUGCGCUGCUCAGAACGAGUCCUCCCCGUGUUUCUCAGCUGCUGAAGUAAGACACAAGCUUCCAGCUGCACCGCCUGCUUUUCAGAGCCACCACCCACGUCCUGGAGCUUUGCUCAUGCACGAGUGGCUUAAGACUUACGGUUGGAUUCAAAAUGGGGACAAUACGUUGUGCGAGAGCCAGAAAAUAAAGCUUUCAAUGACAUCGUCAUAAUAGUUUGAAGGUUUCUGACAGCAGUAACUUCUCACAAUGUCUUGGGUCUUUGUUCAGGUCAGACGACUUCGUGUCCAUCACCGCAUUGACAGAAUAAACCUGCCCCACCUGAAUGGAGAGCAGCCAACGGCACAAACACGUGUCCACAUCUCAGCAUUGAGGAGGAAAUGCUCAGCGAGCCGGACACACCCACCGCUGCUGCGAGGGCUGGAAAUCCCUUUACUGGCAUUUAAAACGCAAGUACAAUAGUGACUCACUACCAGAAUGGACCAUUUGCAAGUGAUUUAAGUUCCGUUGUUUGAAGAGUUUGAACUCGUGCAUCUGCCGUUAUUGCAGCGACCAAUCAAGGUCCAAGGACAUUUCUGCACCUGUUCAGGGAAUAACUUAGUGUCAGGUUUUGUCUGAAGUCUCUGCACUGAUGUGUCUGUGUGUCACACACUUCGCAGCCUCCAGCAACAGCAGCUAAUCAGCGUCACUGAAGAAGCAGACAGGUGGGAAAUUACUGAAGAGCAGCUCGACCGGUUAAUGUGUUUAAUGAGUGCAGAUUUCAGAGAUGCUGCAGAGGCAACAGCGCAUGAGGAGAAAUAAAUGAACAGCGUGAGUGUGAGAUGAAACGCUGCCGUUCCUUCCUGUUCCUGAGCCGUGACCACUGAUGUCAGAGGGCGUCUGUGUGGGAGCAGCAGAGUUUCCAUGAAUGUUAACAGGCUCCGUGGGCGUCAGGUCCCAGCCAGGAAUCAACUGCUUUUAGACUUCAAGGUGCAACUCUUCAGCUGAUUCCACAACACCAGGCGUAAACAUGGAUUUACUUGAGAACCUGCAGAGGAAAAGUUGAAGAUUUGAACCAUUCAAGGUUUCAGCAGGGCACGAGUGUCAGCAAAU